rnacentral:rRNA from 1 species
UCCCUACGGGGCGCAGCAGGCGCGAAAUCUUUACAAUGCGGGAAACCGCGAUAAGGGGACACCGAGUGCCAGCAUUUAUGUUGGCUGUCCACAUGUGUAAACGGCAUGUGUUAGCAAGGGCCGGGCAAGACCGGUGCCAGCCGCCGCGGUAACACCGGCGGCCCGAGUGGUAAUCACUUUUAUUGGGUCUAAAGGGUCCGUAGCCGGUUUGAUCAGUUCUUCGGGAAAUCUGACAGCUCAACUGUUAGGCUUCCGGGGAAUACUGUCAGACUUGGGACCGGGAGAGGUAAGAGGUACUACAGGGGUAGGAGU